rnacentral:rRNA from 1 species
AUGAACGCUGACAGAAUGCUUAACACAUGCAAGUCUACUUGAACUUCGGUUUGGGUGGCGGACGGGUGAGUAACGCGUAAAGAACUUGCCUCACAGUUAGGGACAACAUUUGGAAACGAAUGCUAAUACCUGAUAUUAUGAUUUUAGGGCAUCCUAAGAUUAUGAAAGCUAUAUGCACUGUGAGAGAGCUUUGCGUCCCAUUAGCUAGUUGGAGAGGUAACGGCUCACCAAGGCGAUGAUGGGUAGCCGGCCUGAGAGGGUGAACGGCCACAAGGGGACUGAGACACGGCCCUUACUCCUACGGGAGGCAGCAGUGGGGAAUAUUGGACAAUGGACCAAAAGUCUGAUCCAGCAAUUCUGUGUGCACGAUGACGUUUUUCGGAAUGUAAAGUGCUUUCAGUUGGGAAGAAAAAAAUGACGGUACCAACAGAAGAAGAGACGGCUAAAUACGUG